UCCCUGACAGUCCAGUGGUUAAGACUCUGUACUUGCAAUGCAGGAGUGCAGGUUUGAGCCCUGGUCAGGGAA
rfam:Ovis aries breed Texel chromosome 2, whole genome shotgun sequence.